rnacentral:rRNA from 1 species
CGAACGCUGGCGGCGUGCUUAACACAUGCAAGUCGAACGGAAAGGCCCUGCUUUUGUGGGGUGCUCGAGUGGCGAACGGGUGAGUAACACGUGAGUAACCUGCCCUUGACUUUGGGAUAACUUCAGGAAACUGGGGCUAAUACCGGAUAGGAGCUCCUGCUGCCUGGUGGGGGUUGGAAAGUUUCGGCGGUUGGGGAUGGACUCGCGGCUUAUCAGCUUGUUGGUGGGGUAGUGGCUUACCAAGGCUUUGACGGGUAGCCGGCCUGAGAGGGUGACCGGCCACAUUGGGACUGAGAUACGGCCCAGACUCCUACGGGAGGCAGCAGUGGGGAAUAUUGCACAAUGGGCGGAAGCCUGAUGCAGCAACGCCGCGUGCGGGAUGACGGCCUUCGGGUUGUAAACCGCUUUCGCCUGUGACGAAGCGUGAGUGACGGUAAUGGGUAAAGAAGCACCGGCUAACUACGUG